CGCCGGACCCCACUGCUAUCGGGAUAGGACUAAGACAUGCUAGUCGUGUGCCUCAGCCAAAACGAGGCACGGCGCACAGCUCAGUAACACGUGGCUAACCUGCCCUUAGGACGAGAAUAACCCCGGGAAACUGGGGCUAAUGCUCGAUAGGUGAAGAACUCUGGAAUGAGUCUUCACUUAAAAGAGUCUGCGUUAUGCUCGUAGAUUUCGCUUAAGGAUGGGGCCGCGACCGAUCAGGUUGUUGGUGAGGUAAUGGCUCACCAAGCCUUUUACCGGUGCGGGCCGUGAGAGCGGGAGCCCGGAGAUGGGCACUGAGACAAGGGCCCAGGCCCUACGGGGCGCAGCAGUCGCGAAAACUUUGCAAUACACGAAAGUGUGACAGGGCUAUCCCGAGUGCCAUCCGCUGAGGAAGGCUUUUACCCAGUCUAGAAAGCUGGGGGAAUAAGGAGAGGGCAAGUCUGGUGUCAGCCGCCGCGGUAAUACCAGCUCUCCGAGUGGUGUGGAUGUUUAUUGGGCCUAAAGCAUCCGUAGCUGGCUAAGUUAGUCCCCUGUUAAAUCCAACGAAUUAAUCGUUGGAUCGCGGGGGAUACUGCUUGGCUAGGGGACGAGAGAGGCAGACGGUAUUUCCGGGGUAGGGGUGAAAUCCUAUAAUCCCGGGAAGACCACCAGUGGCGAAGGCUGUCUGCUAGAACGCGCCCGACGGUG
rnacentral:rRNA from 1 species